AAAAAAUCAAUUGACAUUUAAAAAAAUAUUUUAAAUAUUUUUAAAAAUCCAUGUCCUGGAGUUCAGGGACUCAAGAAACUAUUAAUAAACACAUGUGUGCACACACAUAUACUUCUUGGGUAGGUUUUUAUAUCUUACAGCACAUAUUGCUAUUGUAUUUGUUUAACAUUAGGUAGGUUUUAUUAGUACAAAACAUACCAAAUUAAAAAUUGGGAAACUUGGGUCUUGUGCUUGCUAGUUUCUUGUUCUUGCUAGUUUAAUUCUAUCACCUUCAACUUAUCAUUACCCUCGGAAUAUUAUUUUCUAUAGCAAAGAUAAUAACAAUGCCCUCAUCACAUGCAUAUUGUGAUACCUCAGAGUUUGGGAACGGCCUACAAUAUAAAAACCAGAGAAUAUUUUAAUAAUUAUGACAGACAAUAGAAGUUCCGAAAAUAGGCUUUUGCCUCCUCCUGAACUGCCAGAAUUCUUCUAGAAGGCUUUAUUAAAUGCCAAGGCUUCCAGCAUUUAAAUUUUACAUAAGCCUUGUGGUGACCACAAAGCAGCAACGUGCAGUAGAUACACACAGGGUCUAUAUGUAGCUGUUGUGGGUUCCCAUCCUAACUUAAAGAGAAACUUUCACAAUGUCUGGAGUCCUUAAUUUCCCACAAAUAAAUGGAGAAGGAUGUCCUCAAAAUCCUUGCAGCCGACACCCACUUCAGUAGCACCAGCCUUGAGCCACUAGUAUCACUUCCGGGUAUGUCACUGCUCAGACCCGCGCAGCCUCCUGUGAACCGUGGCUUCCGGUGGUUCCUUACCUAAGGGCUGACCACUGUCUUCUCGAGGAGCAUCUUACGUUGCCCUGCGUGUCACCGCUCUGUGUUACACAGACUCUUCCCCUGCAUUACUUGGAGGGAGCCUCCCGGGGCAACAAUGGAGCUCGCUCAGGGGCCCGCGGUGGCCGCCUGGGAAGUCGUGCACAUGCGCAUCACUUUUUCCCAUGAGCACCCGCGGGGAGGUGACACGUGGUGUUUCCUUCCCCAGAAAUUCUGAGGAGAUUGAAAAGGAAAAGCGAGACCCAGCUAAAAGGGCUGUGAGGAAAGAGGAAUUUCAGGGUGAAUGGAAUGCUACAGCGUCUGGAUUUAUUGCGACUGACCCCGAGGUCGCAGACACCUCCAAAAGUGCACAGGUGCCCCCUGUGCCUCUUCAUGGUUCCCUACAGAGGACCGGAGUAUAUCGCCCCCUGGGGAGGGAGCCGUCGGCAGCCCCACCCAUCUGGCCAGAGUGGGGCUUCUUGCCAUCACCAUGAGAAGAACAUGUCUCAUGCCUCACUAAUCUCAGGAGCAGGAUAAGAUGACUCCACUCAGAUCACCAACCACCGGCAUACUCACAGAAGUAUGAGGUAAAAUAAGUAUGUACUAUUGUAUUCAAUUGAGUUUGUAUGGAUCUUUUUAAUGAAAAAAUAUGUAAGAAGUGCACAUUAAAAUGCUAAAUAAUAUCGGGAAGAAGGCAAUACAUGUGAAGGAAAAAUAUAAUCAAGAGUAA
rnacentral:lncRNA from 12 species